UGGGGAAUUUUGGACAAUGGGCGAAAGCCUGAUCCAGCAAUGCCGCGUGUGUGAAGAAGGCCUUCGGGUUGUAAAGCACUUUUGUCCGGAAAGAAAUCCUUGGCUCUAAUACAGUCGGGGGAUGACGGUACCGGAAGAAUAAGCACCGGCUAACUACGUGCCAGCAGCCGCGGUAAUACGUAGGGUGCAAGCGUUAAUCGGAAUUACUGGGCGUAAAGCGUGCGCAGGCGGUUUGCUAAGACCGAUGUGAAAUCCCCGGGCUCAACCUGGGAACUGCAUUGGUGACUGGCAGGCUAGAGUAUGGCAGAGGGGGGUAGAAUUCCACGUGUAGCAGUGAAAUGCGUAGAGAUGUGGAGGAAUACCGACGGCGAAGGCAGCCCCCUGGGCCAAUACUGACGCUCAUGCACGAAAGCGUGGGGACGCAAACAGGAUUAGAUACCCUGGUAGUCCACGCCCUAAACGAUGUCAACUAGUUGUUGGGGAUUCAUUUCCUAGUAACGUAGCUAACGCGUGAAGUUGACCGCCUGGGGAGUACGGUCGCAGGAUUAAAACUCAAAUGAAUUGACGGGGUCAUAGCUGUUUCCU
rnacentral:rRNA from 1 species